rnacentral:rRNA from 2 species
AGUCGAGGGGUAUAGUUCUUCGGAAUUAGAGACCGGCGCACGGGUGCGUAACGCGUAUGCAAUCUACCUUUUACAGAGGGAUAGCCCAGAGAAAUUUGGAUUAAUACCUCAUAGUAUUAUGAAAUGGCAUCAUUUUAUAAUUAAAGUCACAACGGUAAAAGAUGAGCAUGCGUCCCAUUAGCUAGUUGGUAAGGUAACGGCUUACCAAGGCUACGAUGGGUAGGGGUCCUGAGAGGGAGAUCCCCCACACUGGUACUGAGACACGGACCAGACUCCUACGGGAGGCAGCAGUGAGGAAUAUUGGACAAUGGGCGCAAGCCUGAUCCAGCCAUGCCGCGUGCAGGAUGACGGUCCUAUGGAUUGUAAACUGCUUUUAUACAGGAAGAAACCCUGGUUCGUGAACCAGCUUGACGGUACUGUAAGAAUAAGGAUCGGCUAACUCCGUGCCAGCAGCCGCGGUAAUACGGAGGAUCCAAGCGUUAUCCGGAAUCAUUGGGUUUAAAGGGUCCGUAGGCGGUUUAGUAAGUCAGUGGUGAAAGCCCAUCGCUCAACGGUGGAACGGCCAUUGAUACUGCUAAACUUGAAUUAUUAGGAAGUAACUAGAAUAUGUAGUGUAGCGGUGAAAUGCUUAGAGAUUACAUGGAAUACCAAUUGCGAAGGCAGGUUACUACUAAUUGAUUGACGCUGAUGG